rnacentral:rRNA from 2 species
GGGCAGAGGUGGAAGUACGGUAACGUAUGCAGCUGACUGUCACUAAUAGGUCGAAGGCUUAUCCAAA